rnacentral:snRNA from 1 species
AUCACUUCUCAAAGUUCGCUUUGAUUAUGUGUAGUAUCUGUUCUAGAAAGCUUAAUCUCUUUCUGUUUCAACACGUUUGAAACAAAUAAUGAUUAAACUAAUUUCUUUAGGGGAUUGGAGACAAUAUAUAGAAGGCUUGCUUUCUAUGUCACCAUAAGCAUCUGCUUGGUAUAACACUACCUCCAAGAUUAAAAGGUGUCCUCUUU